CAACAAACAAGUGUAAGAAGAAAUCAAUGCAAUCAGUUGGACUUAUACGUUUCGAAAGAGAUCAACAAAUGUUUAUAAAAAUUUUAAUAAUAUUAAUAAUUUGCGCAUUGUUAAAAGCCAAUGAACUAGAUUACAACAGCAAUAGUAUUAAUAAAAAUUAUAAUAAUAACAACAACAACAGCAACAACAACAGCAGCCACAACAUAAACUUCAAUUUAAUUAAUUAUAAUACUACAAUUGAAAAUAAUAAAAAUUUUACAAAUAAUCCAAAUGAAACAUUAAAUAUUGAAUCAAAUACAAAUCCAGAAGAAAAUCGACGUCGUAAUAAAUCGAUAUUUAUACCACCACCGCGUCAAGCAGCCAAUUGUGGUUUUAAACAUAACGGUAAACUAUUAAAGUGCUGAUAUUUCCUGCUUGAAAUAAUCCAUCCUUUACGGAAAGCCGAUAUUCUUUUAAGAUCUCUUGGCUGAUAAACAAAAAACCUUCAUUAUGUAUUUAUUUAAUGUAAAAUUAUUCAUAUUAAUUUAUAUUUUAUUGAAAUUUUCAUUGGCCAACGAGGAAAGUUUUGACACAGAUACAUCUCAUGAUUUUAAUGAUACCUCUUCGGAAAUAGUUUACUUCAUAGCCCAAGCACCCCGUCGUAAUAAUAAGAAUUGUGGUUUUAAACACAACGGUAAACCUAUACCCUGUUCUAGUGAUAAAUUAUUAUGAAGAUGUAUUUCUUUUGAAUAUCUAGUAAAUAAGUUAAAUAAAAUGUUUAUCAUUCUCUUAAUGUUAAUAAAUUAAUUUAGUUAUUAAGUUGUAUAAGUUUUCAA